UACGUAGGGUGCAAGCGUUGUCCGGAAUUAUUGGGCGUAAAGAGCUUGUAGGCGGUUUGUCGCGUCUGCUGUGAAAUUUCGGGGCUCAACCCCCGAACUUGCAGUGGGUACGGGCAGACUAGAGUGUGGUAGGGGAGACUGGAAUUCCUGGUGUAGCGGUGAAAUGCGCAGAUAUCAGGAGGAACACCGAGUCGCGAAGGCAGGUCUCUGGGCCGAUACUGACGCUGAGGAAGCGAAAGCUGGGGAGCGAACAGG
rnacentral:rRNA from 1 species